rnacentral:lncRNA from 1 species
UACAGUAGAAUGGAAGGCAGAAUACUGGGGCUCGAGCACUCAGCUGGAAUAAAGAUUCAAGGAAAUGGAAAGUACUAGAAACAGACUCCUCCAGCCUCCUCCCCAUGGGAUCCUAAGGGUGGGAAGGAGAAAAAGAACAAAAGUACACUGAUGUCCUUGUCCUGUAUCAACUAUCCCUGGGUCAUCUGCCACCCACUUUCCAAGACCUUUCUCCUACUCAACCAGGAAGCCGUGGUUUCUGCAAUCCAGGGCCAUGGCAACUGUGACUCCAAGCUCUCUCUGUCUCAUCCAGUCAACUUUUCUGCCUCCUAACCAAGGAAUUCCUCUACGCAGGCUCUUGUUGCCCAGGCUAGCCCUCUUUUUCAGCCAGGAUGUGGAGCUGAAGGAGACCCUAGUGUUUACUUUCUCCAGUCCUAGCUCUGCCAUAUAAACACUGUUUCAUGCUGUGCUUCUUAAAUGAUAAAGGACACAGUGACUUUUGGGGAUAGAUUUGUCUGGG